rnacentral:rRNA from 1 species
AUAUCCAAAUAAGCGGAGGAAAAGAAACCAACAGGGAUUACCUUAGUAACGGCGAGUGAAGCGGUAACUGCUCAAAUUUGAAAGCUGCCAACAGGCCGCGUUGUAAUUUGUAGAAGAUGCUUUGGGUGUCGGCCCAGUCUAAGUUCCUUGGAACAGGACGUCAUAGAGGGUGAGAAUCCCGUAUGUGAUUGGUGCCGUCCCCCGUGUAAAGCUCUUUCGACGAGUCGAGUUGUUUGGGAAUGCAGCUCAAAAUGGGUGGUAAAUUUCAUCUAAAGCUAAAUAUUGGCCAGAGACCGAUAGCGCACAAGUAGAGUGAUCGAAAGAUGAAAAGCACUUUGGAAAGAGAGUUAAACAGUACGUGAAAUUGUUGAAAGGGAAGCGCUUGCAAUCAGACUUGCAGGCGGUUGAUCAUCCGGGGUUCUCCCCGGUGCACUCGAUCGUCUUCAGGCCAGCAUCGGUUUCAGUGGUGGGAUAAAGGCUGUGAGAAUGUGGCUCUUCGGAGUGUUAUAGCUCACGGUGCAAUGCCGCCUACUGGGACCGAGGACCGCGCUUCGGCUAGGAUGCUGGCGUAAUGGUUGUAAGCGACCCGUCUUGAA